rnacentral:rRNA from 1 species
UACGUAGGGCGCAAGCGUUGUCCGGAAUUAUUGGGCGUAAAGAGCUCGUAGGCGGUUUGUCACGUCUGCUGUGAAAUCCCGAGGCUCAACCUCGGGACUGCAGUGGGUACGGGCAGACUAGAGUGUGGUAGGGGAGACUGGAAUUCCUGGUGUAGCGGUGGAAUGCGCAGAUAUCAGGAGGAACACCAAUGGCGAAGGCAGGUCUCUGGGCCACAACUGACGCUGAGGAG